rnacentral:rRNA from 1 species
GAUGAACGCUGGCGGCGCGCCUAACACAUGCAAGUCGAACGAUUAAAGCACCUUCGGGUGUGUAUAAAGUGGCGAACGGCUGAGUAACACGUGGGCAACCUGCCCCUUUCAUUGGGAUAGCCACGGGAAACCGUGGAUAAUACCGAAUACUUCGAGACUUCCGCAUGGAAGACUCGAGAAAGCUCCGGCGGAGAGGGAUGGGCCCGCGGCCUGUUAGCUUGUUGGUGGGGUAACGGCCUACCAAGGCAAUGAUGGGUAGCUGGGUUGAGAGACCGACCAGCCAGAUUGGGACUGAGACACGGCCCAGACUCCUACGGGAGGCAGCAGUGGGGAAUCUUGCACAAUGGGCGAAAGCCUGAUGCAGCGACGCCGCGUGCGGGAUGAAGGCCUUCGGGUUGUAAACCGCUUUCAGCAGGGACGAGGCGAAAGUGACGGUACCUGCAGAAGAAGCCCCGGCUAAUUACGUG